CCUACGGGCGGCAGCAGUGAGGAAUAUUGGUCAAUGGGCUUACGCCUGAACCAGCCAAGUCGCGUGAGGGAAGACUGCCCUAUGGGUUGUAAACCUCUUUUGUCAGGGAGCAACGCCGGCUACGUGUAGCCGGACUGAGAGUACCUGAAGAAAAAGCAUCGGCUAACUCCGUGCCAGCAGCCGCGGUAAUACGGAGGAUGCGAGCGUUCUCGGGAUUUAUUGGGUUUAAAGGGUGCGUAGGCGGAAUGCCAAGUCAGCGGUAAAAUCGCGGGGCUCAACCUCGCUCCGCCGUUGAUACUGGCGGUCUGGAGUGGGCGAGAAGUAUGCGGAAGGCGUGGUGUAGCGGUGAAAUGCAUAGAUAUCACGCAGAACUCCGAUUGCGAAGGCAGCAUACCGGCGCCCAACUGACGCUGAAGCACGAAAGCGUGGGUAUCGAACAGGAUUAGAUACCCUAGUAGUC
rnacentral:rRNA from 1 species